UUAAGUUCAGCGGGUAUCCCUACCUGAUCCGAGGUCAAACUUGGGGGUGGAGGCUUCCUGGAUAGCCAGGCACCGUCAGACGCCGCGCGCGUUUCUGCUGCGCUCGAAGCCAACGUGCCGGCUGCCAAUGCAUUUGAGGCGAGUCCCGGGGGGAGGACAGACGCCCAACACCAAGCCAUGAGGGGGGCUUGAAGUUUGAA
rnacentral:misc_RNA from 1 species